AAAGUACUCCCUCCAUCCCAAAAUUCUUGUCUUAGAUUUGUCUAGAUACGGAUGUAUCAAGUCACAUUUUAGUAUUAGAUACAUCUGUAUCUAGACAAAUCUAAGACAAGAAAUUUGGGAUAGAGGGAGUAGUUG
rnacentral:pre_miRNA from 1 species